UGGGGAAUAUUGGACAAUGGGGGGAACCCUGAUCCAGCAAUGCCGCGUGUGUGAAGAAGGCCUGAGGGUUGUAAAGCACUUUUAGUGGGGAGGAGUUUUGUAUGGUUAAGAGCUGAACAAGAGGACGUUACCCACAGAAACAGCACCGGCUAACUCCGUGCCAGCAGCCGCGGUAAUACGGAGGGUGCAAGCGUUAAUCGGAAUUACUGGGCGUAAAGGGUGCGUAGGUUGUUUUUUAAGUUAUCUGUAAAAUCCCUGGGCUCAACCUGGGCAAGUCAGAUAAGACUGGAAGACUCGAGUAUGGGAGAGGGUAGUGGAAUUUCCGGUGUAGCGGUGAAAUGCGUAGAGAUCGGAAGGAACACCGGUGGCGAAGGCGGCUACCUGGCCUGAUACUGACACUGAGGCACGAAAGCGUGGGGAGCAAACAGGAUUAGAUACCCCUGUAGUCC
rnacentral:rRNA from 1 species